rnacentral:lncRNA from 1 species
GGACUUUUCUUUAGCUAACAUGAAACAUAAUUAAAUGAGAAACACGAGGUCAAAAAAUCAAGAAAAACGGGAAACCAUAAGGGGUUCAUCAGAGGGGUUUUGAGGUCGCAAUUGCGGCAACUUGGCCAAGCUCUGCUCGCAUUUUUCGGCUCAUAUUUUAGGCUUUUGACUUCGAUAUGGGUGUGGGGAGGUUCGAAAUUCAAUUUCAAAUGGAAAGGGGAAAAAUUUUACUUUUUUGGUGUCGGCGGUGGCUCUAGUGCAGCGAUGACGGUGGCUGGUCUCCUCCAGUGACUGGUUCACUUUUUAAUUGCCCCUCUUCUUCUUCUCCGAUCUCCUCUCUGUCAGCUAGGGUUAGGGUUCCCUGUGAAGAGGAGUUUAAAUA